rnacentral:rRNA from 1 species
CGGACGGGUGAGUAACACGUGGAUAACCUACCUAUAAGACUGGGAUAACUUCGGGAAACCGGAGCUAAUACCGGAUAACAUAUUGAACCGCAUGGUUCAAUAGUGAAAGACGGUUUUGCUGUCACUUAUAGAUGGAUCCGCGCCGCAUUAGCUAGUUGGUAAGGUAACGGCUUACCAAGGCAACGAUGCGUAGCCGACCUGAGAGGGUGAUCGGCCACACUGGAACUGAGACACGGUCCAG